AUUCAUUAAAACUUUGACAUAGACUUAUUUAUAUGUCAUCAUAUAUUACAAUAAAACAUUAUUACAGAAAAUAAGAGCAUCUAUAAUGUUUGUCAUAUAUAACAUGAUUAUACAUAUAGCUAUAAUAUAUUACAUUAAUAUUCUCGUUGUCAUGAUUAAUGGAGAAAAUAUGCCAUAUCAAGAUGACUAUCAUCAUCUUGGCUUUUAAAGGAAGGUCCUGGCUGAAAUAAUCCGUCCUGUUUUUUUUUUUUUCAAACAUAAUUAAAUAUUCUCAUAAAUAUUUAAUAAAACCAACCAAUAAAGCAACAUUUAAACCGCAAGUCAAAAAUACUAUUUUAUGAAUAAAUAAAUAAUUCAACCGACAAAACUAAGUAUGACUAACAAUCCUAACACAACCCUAACCGAAUUCCAAUAACCAAAACACUAAAAAUAAAUCAAACGAGUUCCUAAAUCAUCCUCUUUUCCUUGCCAAUAUUCCACGAUCAUACUUUAUUUUUACUUGUACCAAAAGGAAAGAGAUGCGUAAGUAUUAUCACAAAUACUUAAUGAGGCGAUCCUCCCAUCUACGAGCUAUACACAAAAUCAAAUAAAAGGGUAUAAUCACAAAUACAACAUAAACGAACCAGUCAUUGAACAAUUCACCCAAAAACACAUUCACCACACCUACAUAUCAUCACACAAAACAAAUCAUACAACCCAAUUGCUCAGAUAAGCUCAUGGUCAAGCACUCACCUUAACAAAUUGAUUGUAACAACAAUUAAACCCAGGAGAGACUCUCCUUGCGUUUGAAACAGUCCAGAAAAGUCCUACAACAAGUCACACAACCAAAAGCAAACUUAAAGCAAACUUAAAGCAAAAUCAAAAAUAAACAGUCUCAAAGACAAAACCCUAAAACAAAAAUCAACCGUUAACUAUCAAAUCCAUCCGGUGAAACGCUAGCGUUUGACGCCACGAAGCUUCCCAAACAAUCUCGUGCCGAUAGGAAGCCAGAUGAGACCACGAUCUCAGUUACAAUCUCCGUUGGUCCUAAUUCGUGUCUCAGAAAACGUGUCUCACGAAACUACGAAUAACUCAACGAAUUUAAAUCCAAAAGU
rnacentral:sRNA from 1 species